UACGUAGGGGGCAAGCGUUGUCCGGAUUCAUUGGGCGUAAAGAGCGUGUAGGCGGCCAGGUAGGUCGGUUGUGAAAACUGGAGGCUCAACCUUCAGACGUCGACCGAAACCAUCUGGCUAGAGUCCGGGAGAGGAGAGUGGAAUUCCUGGUGUAGCGGUGAAAUGCGCAGAUAUCAGGAGGAACACCGGUGGCGAAGGCGGAUCUCUGGGCCUUACCUGACGCUCGAGGUGCGAAAGCUAGGGGAGCGAACAGG
rnacentral:rRNA from 1 species